UACGAAGGGGGCUAGCGUUGCUCGGAAUUACUGGGCGUAAAGCGCACGUAGGCGGUCUUUUAAGUCGGGGUGAAAUCCUGGAGCUCAACUCCAGAACUGCCUUCGAUACUGAAAGACUUGAGUCCGGGAGAGGUGAGUGGAACUGCGAGUGUAGAGGUGAAAAUUCGUAGAUAUUCGCAAGAACACCAGUGGCGAAGGCGGCUCACUGGCCCGGUA
rnacentral:rRNA from 1 species